rnacentral:rRNA from 1 species
ACACGUGGAUAACCUACCCUUAGGACCGGAAUAACCCCGGGAAACUGGGGAUAAUACCGGAUAAGCCAUAGACGCUGGAAUGCCCUAUGGUUCAAAGCUCCGGCGCCUAAGGAUGGAUCUGCGGUCUACCAGGUUGUAGUGGGUGUAACGUACCUACUAGCCGACGACGGAUACGGGUUGUGAGAGCAAGAGCCCGGAGAUGGAUUCUGAGACACGAAUCCAGGCCCUACGGGGUGCAGCAGGCGCGAACACUUUACAAUGCGGGAAACCGCGAUAAGGGAACCCCGAGUGCCAGCAUCAAAUGUUGGCUGUCCGGAUGAUUAAAAAUCAUUUGUUAGCAAGGGCCGGGCAAGACCGGUGCCAGCCGCCGCGGUAACACCGGCGGCCCGAGUGGUAGCCGUUUUUAUUGGGUCUAAAGGGUCCGUAGCCGGCCUGAUCAGUCCUUUGGGAAAUCUGGCAGCUUAACUGUCAGGCUUCUAAGGGAUACUGUCAGGCUUGGGACCGGAAGAGGUAAGGGGUACUCCAGGGGUAGGAGUGAAAUCUUGUAAUCCCUGGGGGACCAUCUGUGGCGAAGGCGCCUUACCAGAACGGGUCCGACGGUGAGGGACGAAAGCUAGGGGAGCAAACCGGAUUAGAUACCCGGGUAGUCCUAGCUGUAAACGAUGCUCGCUAGGUGUCAGACACGGUGCGACCGUGUUUGGUGCCGCAGGGAAGCCGUUAAGCGAGCCACCUGGGAAGUACGGUCGCAAGGCUGAAACUUAAAGGAAUUGGCGGGGGAGCACUACAACGGGUGGAGCCUGCGGUUUAAUUGGAUUCAACGCCGGAAAACUCACCGGGUGCGACAGCAAUAUGUAGGUCAGGCUGAAGGUCUUACCUGAAUCGCUGAGAGGAGGUGCAUGGCCGUCGUCAGUUCGUACUGUGAAGCAUCCUGUUAAGUCAGGCAACGAGCGAGACCCGCGCCCACAGUUGCCAGCAUGUUCUCAGGAACGAUGGGUACACUGUGGGGACCGCCGCUGCUAAAGCGGAGGAAGGAACGGGCUACGGUAGGUCAGUAUGCCCCGAAUCUCCCGGGCUACACGCGGGCUACAAU